UUGAUGUAACGGGGAUUAAGCCAUGAGCCGAAGCUUAGGAUUCACCGCAAGGUGAAUGGUAGCAGAGUGUUCUGUAUGCCUGCGAAGGGUGAGCGUGAGCGAGCCUGGAGGUAUCAGAAGUAAGAAUGCUGACAUGAGUAGCGAUAAAGAGGGUGAGAGACCCUCUCGCCGUAAGUCCAAGGGUUCCUGCGUCAAGUUAAUCUGCGCAGGGUUAGCCGGCCCCUAAGGCAAGGCCGAAAGGCGUAGUCGAUGGGAAUGCGGUAAAUAUUCCGCAGCCUGUGGGUAGUGACGGAUCAAGUAACUUGUUCGACCUUACUGGAUUGGUCGGGCCGGGAAUUGGUCCCAGGAAAUAGCUCCCACGUAUAGCCCGUACCCCAAACCGACACAGGUGGACUGGCAGAGUAUGCUAAGGCGCUUGAGAGAACUGUGUUGAAGGAACUAGGCAAAUUGCCCUCGUAACUUCGGAAGAAGAGGGCCCGGUAUCGACGCAAGUCUUUGCCGGGGGCACAUAGCAGGGGGUGGCGACUGUUUACUAAAAACACAGGGCGCUGCGAAAUCCAAAGAUGACGUAUAGCGUCUGACGCCUGCCCGGUGCUGGAAGGUUAAGAGGAGAUGUGAAAGCGUUGAAUCGAAGCCCCAGUAAACGGCGGCCGUAACGAUAACGGUCCUAAGGUAGCGAAAUUCCUUGUCGGGUAAGUUCCGACCUGCACGAAAGGCGUAACGACUUCCCCACUGUCUCCAACACAGGCUCAGCGAAAUUGAAUUCCCCGUGAAGAUGCGGGGUUCCCGCGGUCAGACGGAAAGACCCCGUGCACCUUUACUGCAACUUUACACUGGCAUUAGGAAUGGGAUGUGUAGAAUAGGUGGUAGGCAUUGAAGCCGAGGCGCUAGCCUUGGUGGAGCCGAAAUGUGAAAUACCACCCUUCUUGUUCCUGAUGUCUAACCGCGGUCCCUGAACGGGAUCCGAGACAGUGUAUGGUAGGCAGUUUGACUGGGGCGGUCGCCUCCCAAAGAGUAACGGAGGCGCGCGAUGGUAGGCUCAAUCCGGUCGGAAAUCGGAUGUUGAGUGCAAUGGCAAAGGCCUGCCUGACUGCAAGGUCGACGGACCAAGCAGAGUCGAAAGACGGUCAUAGUGAUCCGGUGAUCCCGAAUGGAAGGGUCAUCGCUCAACGGAUAAAAGGUACGCCGGGGAUAACAGGCUGAUCGCACCCAAGCGUCCAUAGCGACGGUGCGGUUUGGCACCUCGAUGUCGGCUCAUCACAUCCUGGGGCUGUAGCCGGUCCCAAGGGUAUGGCUGUUCGCCAUUUAAAGUGGUACGUGAGCUGGGUUUAGAACGUCGUGAGACAGUUCGGUCCCUAUCUGCCGUGGGUGUUCGAAACUUGAGGAGACUUCUUCCUAGUACGAGAGGACCGGAAGGAACGUAUCUCUGGUGGAUCGGUUGUCACGCCAGUGGCAUAGCCGAGUAGCUAAAUACGGACGAGAUAACCGCUGAAAGCAUCUAAGCGGGAAACUCACUCCAAAACUAGGUUUCGCUUGAGAGCCGGGGAAGACUACCCCGUCGAUAGGCCAGGUGUGUAAGCGCAGCAAUGCGUUGAGCUUACUGGUACUAAUUGCUCGAAG
rnacentral:rRNA from 1 species